UACGGAGGAUGCGAGCGUUAUCCGGAUUUAUUGGGUUUAAAGGGUGCGUAGGCGGGCAUUUAAGCCGGCGGUCAAAUGUCGGGGCUCAACCCCGGCCUGCCGUCGGAACUGGGUGCCUUGAGUGGGCGAGAAGUAUGCGGAAUGCGUGGUGUAGCGGUGAAAUGCAUAGAUAUCACGCAGAACCCCGAUUGCGAAGGCAGCCUUCCGGCGCCCUACUGACGCUGAGGCACGAAAGUGCGGGGAUCGAACAGG
rnacentral:rRNA from 1 species